rnacentral:rRNA from 1 species
GUCACACCCGUUCCCAUACCGAACACGGAAGUUAAGCUCUCUAGCGCCGAUGGUAGUUGGGACCUUGUCCCUGUGAGAGUAGGACGUCGCCAAGCG